rnacentral:rRNA from 1 species
CAGUCGCCGCGGGAAUACGUAGGUCCCGAGCGUUGUCCGGAUUUAUUGGGCGUAAAGCGAGCGCAGGCGGUUAGAUAAGUCUGAAGUUAAAGGCUGCGGCUUAACCAUAGUACGCUUUGGAAACUGUUUAACUUGAGUGCAAGAGGGGAGAGUGGAACUCCAUGUGUAGGGGUGAAAUGCGUAGAUAUAUGGAGGAACACCGGUGGCGAAAGCGGCUCUCUGGCUUGUAACUGACGCUGAGGCUCGAAAGCGUGGGGAGCAAACAGGAUUAGAUACCCGCGUAGUCCCUGUCUCUUAUACC